AGGUUCAUCUGCCAGGGCCUAGCAAGCUUGGACGGUGGCAGCGAGGUCCUCAGGAUGUAGGUUUACUUAGAGUAUCCUCUUAGAUGGAUGGUCUUACAGGGCUGAGGAGCUCCAUCUGGCCG